rnacentral:misc_RNA from 1 species
GGCAGCUUGGCCAAGCCUUUCUCAUAGUACCGAUUCCAUCGACUGGAAAAAAAAGAGUACCAAACUAGCUGAGGGUUGGCAAGAUCUCAACAACCAACCAAUCUGCAAGCAAAUCUAAUGCUUGUCUGUUGGAAUAUCUAGAUCCUUAAAUACUGGGCUAUCGACUCCUACGCCCAUUGCGUUCAAACCAUUAUCAACAUAAA